rnacentral:rRNA from 1 species
ACCUACGGGGGGCAGCAGUGAGGAAUAUUGGACAAUGGGCUUACGCCUGAACCAGCCAAGUCGCGUGAGGGAAGACUGCCCUAUGGGUUGUAAACCUCUUUUGUCAGGGAGCAACGCCGGCUACGUGUAGCCGGACUGAGAGUACCUGAAGAAAAAGCAUCGGCUAACUCCGUGCCAGCAGCCGCGGUAAUACGGAGGAUGCGAGCGUUAUCCGGAUUUAUUGGGUUUAAAGGGUGCGUAGGCGGACUGUCAAGUCAGCGGUAAAAUACGGGGGCUCAACCUCCGCCCGCCGUUGAAACUGACGG